ACUAUACGCGUGUGCUUGCGUUAUAAAUAGUUUAUAAAUGGAAAUACCAUAAUUGUGUUCAUCUUGUUCUUUAAAUAAUUUAAAUAUUUCCACAGAUAAGCGAGUUAUAACACAGUUGUUAAAAAUACUAAUACAAACUUAUCAAAGAGGUACAAUUAUGUAUAUUGUGAUUUAAAUAAUCAUAACUUUCGUCUGGAGUAAACCUGACCUACAAAUGUACAUCGAUUGUUAACCGGAAAUCAUGAUUAUGAUCGUCGUAAUAUUCUUAAAUUAACGGGAAAAUUAAUUUAAACUUCUAAAAAAGGAAAACAUUAACUUCCGAGCACUUACUGAUGGGUUUUCAACUGAACUCGUACGAUACGAUAAGGAGGACCGGUACAAUCCGAAUAAUGGCUAGAGUGAGACCGGGCACAGCCAAUAAUUGAAUCAAUCCUACGUCUUUAUGCAUGCGAAAGCAUGGCGAGUUAAGAAAGCUUGAAGACAAAGUGGACAAGAAGACAAUUAAUUAAAUAGCAAUGGAAGUUACAUCCUAGAGUAGUUGUCCAAAUGUCUUAAAUAAUGCCAGAGUUAAAGUCGUGGAAACCACAAUUGUGCUCGAUAGUUAUCUUAACCAAAAAUGCUGAUGAUGGAAUCGAUCGACGGAGCCAAAAAAGAUAAUAUGCAAAAUUGUUGAUGAAGAAAUUUACAUAAAAAAAAUCUUUAAAAAAAACGGAAGAGCCAAACGAGUACUUACAUUGACUGAGUAACAUAGUCCGAUGCGAUGACAUUUCAUACACAAGUCCGGUGAAAAGUUAAUUGAUAUUUUAUUCUGCUAACUACAAGUCCACAAAAUAUUCUUAUUAAUACGAUACAUUCAGAAACUUUCGAGAUCGUAAAAUAUUAAAUUCAAAUAAUAAAAAAUAUGGCGGGCGACCAGACCCUUACGGGUGUGCGCCGCGAUUCACAAUUUAAAUGAAUCCGAGGUAUAUGCUAGUUUAACUCGAGCUGGACUAUUUUUGUUCAUACAGAAUUGCUAUCUUUUUUAUUCGUCCGAUACAAUUCGACGGUUACUAUACUGCGGGAGAAGAACUAUAUGAGAAUUUGAAUGUUGUUACAAUCCCAUUCAAACAAGUACAUUUGUAAAUGUUGUAUGAAAUCAUAUGAAUAAUGUUUCUGCUUAAUAGAAAUACAUUAAAGUGGUAAGUUUUAUAUUCCUGAUUCGUUCAACGUUUGAUUUUCCGUAUGUUUUGCAUUAUAACGUGAAUACAUAAAAUCUGGCGUAUUCAAAUAACGGCUGCCGCAUUUGUUUUCGGGACGUCUCCGAUGUUUAAGGCUUAACGAGUGCUUUCAAUCAAUGGCUUUUGGUUUUAAAAGUAGAUAGUGUAAUACAUUCGAACAUUUGAAAACAGGGGGCAUUGAACCAGCUAUAAUUUACCGAACACUAUUUUUUACAAUUAGGCAUAAAAUAAUAACAGAGAUAAACUUAUCAUAUGAGAAGAAUCAUUUUCCCACUUGAAGCAAAUAAUAAUGCAUUCUACCGAUCGAAUUCUUAUCAUAGUUUCGACUUUCAAUGCGCCGAAUGUCGGUCGCUCAAAACUUAUUGACGUUGACCAAGCAGCUACUUGAAAUUCAAAUUAAAUGUGGUCCAACAGGGGAUUCCACAAUUGUUUCAGACCGAUACCGAAUAAACGGAGUAUGAUUCAUGUGUUGGGAUCCAACCUUUAUUUCCCCUGUUAAAGAACUAGAUUUUGGACG